ensembl:snRNA U6 U6 spliceosomal RNA
GUGCUUGCUUUGUCAGCACGUAUAGUAAAAUUGGAACGAUACAGAGCAGAUUAGCAUGGCCCCUGUACAAAGAUGACGUGCAAAUUCAUGAAGCAUUCCAUAUUUUU